GAAUGUGUAGCUCAGUUGGAUAGAGCACUGGAUACUAAUCCAGGGGUCAGCAGUUCGAGUCUGUUCACAUUUA
rnacentral:tRNA from 1 species